UUUUUCUUUUUCUUUUUGGCAGAGGAAGCACCUGACUCAGUUCUGCUGCUGAAGUCCAGCAGCUCUGGCCCUGGAGAAGAAAUAUCCCAAUAGCCUUCUGUAAGAUGCUGCUUGACAGAAGAGUGAGGCCUGACUUCUUCUGGAUAAGGCUCCUUGAAGACUUUGAUUGACAUCUGAAGCCCUCUUCAUUCCUCCACACAGACAGUGAAGUGUGAUGGGCAGGGACAUGCAUGUCUACUCAAAACAGAAAUGUAGUUACCAUGAUGCGAAAGAAAGAAACCCAAUUCAAAUAGCUGCAGGAGAUUUGGGAUCCUUAAAGGACCUGGAGUUUGAAAUGAAGCUUUUGCCCAGUUAAAACAGGAUGUGAAACGUAAGUAGUAUUUUAUUUUCUGCUUAUUAGAUAUAACUUCUUCAAACUGGUGGUAUAACAUUUUUAUGAUUUGUCAAACCCUCUUCUAUGACAGGGUUGAGAAAUAUCUAUCGCCAACAGUCAGGGAUGAUGGGAGUUGUAGUUCAGCAACACUUGGAGGGCAAUAUUUUUAACAUCAGUCCUACCAUUCUAUUAAAUAUGUGGAAGCAUCUACAGCCUUGCAGAU